AUUGAACGCUGGCGGCAUGCCUUACACAUGCAAGUCGAACGGCAGCACGGGUGCUUGCACCUGGUGGCGAGUGGCGAACGGGUGAGUAAUACAUCGGAACGUACCUUAUCGUGGGGGAUAACGCAGCGAAAGCUGUGCUAAUACCGCAUACGCCCUGAGGGGGAAAGCGGGGGAUCGCAAGACCUCGCGCGAUUAGAGCGGCCGAUGCCUGAUUAGCUUGUUGGUGGGGUAAAAGCCCACCAAGGCGACGAUCAGUAGCUGGUCUGAGAGGACGAUCAGCCACACUGGGACUGAGACACGGCCCAGACGCCUACGGGAGGCAGCAGUGGGGAAUUUUGGACAAUGGGGGCAACCCUGAUCCAGCAAUGCCGCGUGAGUGAAGAAGGCCUUCGGGUUGUAAAGCUCUUUUGUCAGGGAAGAAGCACCGGCUCUAACACAGUCCGGGAAUGACGGUACCUGAAGAAUAAGCACCGGCUAACUACGUGCCAGCCGCCGCCGUAA
rnacentral:rRNA from 1 species